CAACAGGCAUUUCCCAUUUGUACGCCCGCUUGUCCUAUGUGAAUGGAUAUACAUUCCCGCUGCGAAUAAACGAGUAAAGUCUGUCGAGCGAGCUUAACAAGCCUUAACGAGACUGAGCAAAGGAAUACGAGCUAUGCUUAACAAGGGAUGAUUACCGGUGGCCCAGACAUUGUCGACUAAAGCAAUGUCUUUAUCUGUCAACAAGGUCUGGUAGAAAAAUGCCACCUUGACCUAAUGUGUCCCCCAUGGAUAAUUCAGUCGUACCCUAAAAGUUGACACACUGUAACCAUAGCAGCUUAAUCGAAUAUCAAACUGCAUACUCGCAUAUGACGCGAUUGCAUCGAUUCAAUCAAAAAGAUUUCACUGUGAUCUUACAAUUAAUAGACGUAAGAGACAUCUCAAAUCUGUCAU